rnacentral:rRNA from 2 species
UUCCGGUUGAUCCCGCCGGACCUGACUGCUAUCGGAUUGAUACUAAGCCAUGCGAGUCAUUGUAGCAAUACAAGGCAUACGGCUCAGUAACGCGUAGUCAACCUAACCUAUGGACGGGAAUAACCUCGGGAAACUGAGAAUAAUGCCCGAUAGAACACUAUACCUGGAAUGGUUUGUGUUCCAAAUGAUUUAUCGCCAUAGGAUGGGACUGCGGCCUAUCAGUUUGUUGGUGAGGUAAUGGCCCACCAAGACUAUUACAGGUACGGGCUCUGAGAGGAGUAGCCCGGAGAUGGGUACUGAGACACGGACCCAGGCCCUAUGGGGCGCAGCAGGCGAGAAAACUUUGCAAUGUGCGAAAGCACGACAAGGUUAAUCCGAGUGAUUUGUGCUAAACGAAUCUUUUGUUAGUCCUAGAAACACUAACGAAUAAGGGGUGGGCAAGUUCUGGUGUCAGCCGCCGCGGUAAAACCAGCACCUCAAGUGGUCAGGAUGAUUAUUGGGCCUAAAGCAUCCGUAGCCGGCUCUGUAAGUUUUCGGUUAAAUCUGUACGCUUAACGUACAGGCUGCCGGGAAUACUGCAGAGCUAGGGAGUGGGAGAGGUAGACGGUACUCGGUAGGAAGUGGUAAAAUGCUUUGAUCUAUCGAUGACCACCUGUGGCGAAGGCGGUCUACCAGAACACGUCCGACGGUGAGGGAUGAAAGCUGGGGGAGCAAACCGGAUUAGAUACCCGGGUAGUCCCAGCUGUAAACUAUGCAAACUCAGUGAUGCAUUGGCUUGUGGCCAAUGCAGUGCUGCAGGGAAGCCGUUAAGUUUGCCGCCUGGGAAGUACGUACGCAAGUAUGAAACUUAAAGGAAUUGGCGGGGGAGCACCACAAGGGGUGAAGCCUGCGGUUCAAUUGGAUUCAACGCCGGG